AUCAAGAGAAAGGUGGUAUGUGGUGCUGACGAGGCCAACCUCAUUUUCAUUGACUUCCACGUAAGCAGCCAGGGGGCACACUGCGGACAGAAACGCACCAGAGAUGCCAUCACGAAGAGAUUUUUCUGGCCUGGAAUGACCAUAGAUAUUGACACCUGGGUAUGUGUACAAUGCCAGGCCAGCCAAACCACUAUUAAACAGGAGGUGGAGUACAUCUCUAUAAAGGCACCCCUUUGAGUUAAUUCGCAUGGAUCUCAUUGGGAAACUGCGCCAUAGCAAAGGGGAAUCAGUACAUCUGUGUCAUGAUUGAUUAUAUGACCAAAUGGCCUCAGGCCAUCAGCCUCAUGAAGACCAAGACUGCUGCGGAGGUCACAGAUUCUCAAAAUCUUUUAUCAGUUUGAGGCCCCAAAAAGAAUCCCGACUGAUCAGGGAAAAUAAUUUGUCAAUGAGAUCAACAGGAAUGUUUGCAAAAUCCUGGGGAUAAAAAGAAGCCUCUGUUCCCCCUACCACCCCCAGACCAAUGGGCUGGUAGAAAGGAUGAAUGCGACAAUACAGAGGUGAGAACAAUGGCUUGUGGACUGCCCCAUAUGUUCAUGUUUGUAUUAGGGAUCCUCCAAAUCCAGGAUAAGCUGUUGUAUUCUCUACAUUUUUGUAUACAUUGCUUGAAUUGUCAUGACUCAUGUCAUGUUGUAAAGACAUACAAUUCCACCUCCACACUAUUAUGGGGUGGAUACCAACCAAGUUAACAAGAUCACUAAAUUCAUCCAUUAGUUUCAGUGAUGUUGCAGUGUUACAGUAGUAACAGUAUGGCAUCUGUAUUUUGUGGUUCUAUGUUCAUGGUUGGUAAACAGGUUGUAUUAACUAACAUGAACAAGCACACUGUUGAGCAAUGCUAUUGUAAUGCAUAAGCAAAUUACUUGUGUAUGUUAUAGUAUUCUUUACUCUGUCCAAGUAACCCUUACUGUUGAGAACAAAGAAACAUUAAGAUGUUCAAUACUUUUCAGUCAAAAUAUCCUUGUUAAAGCAAAAGUCAAUCCAUUAGUUCUUUAUUUUAAUUAAUUUUCAGAACGCUCAGCAAAUUGGUUGCAAAAAAAAAAGAUGAAUGGGAUGAUCACUUGGAUGCAGUGAUGUUUGGUCUGAGAACCAAAAAACAAACAACAAAAUACUCCCCAUACUACCUAAUGUUUGGGAGAGAAGCACGCUACCCUUCGGAGAUCCCUGAGCAAUACAGGGUUAGUGUACAUGUUUAAUAUGCACAUUCAGUAUUAUGAAAAAAUGCUUGUUAAUUCUGCACAUUCAUCAUCGUAUUUUCUCUUAUCCUAUUAUUGAUGCAUUGAUGAAAAAAUAGAUACUGUUACAGAUAAUGCUGGCAUUUAUUGAGCUUAAAACACUACAUCCAUACAUUGAUGGCAGUGUGGAAGACAAUGUGGCAGAGGAGGAUGCUACACAAAUAUCAAGAAACUCUCCAAAAGGCAAAAGAAAAUGUAAGAAGGGUGCAGAAGCCACACAAAAACGAUUGGCAAAAUGUGUAAAAUGUGCCCAGUUAGCUGUGGGUGACAAGGUGUAGCGACUGAAUGUGCAUGCACAACAAUGAAAAGGAGGCAAACUGGAGCCUAAUUAUCUUGGCCCGUACACGAUUCAAGCAACUGACGACAAAAAUGCUGAUCUGACGAAUGACAGUGGUGUGCUCCUCCCUAAAAUAAACACAGACCAUCUGAUUCCCUACAAAGAGGAGGUUCCACGCAUUCCACAUAAAUUAAACACUCCAUCACAUGAAGCCACAACAGACAGGACUCCAUCACCUGAAGCCACCACAGCCAGGACUCCAUCACCUGAAGCCACCACUGCCAGGACUCCAUCACCUGAAGCCACCACAGCCAGGACUCCAUCACUUGAAGCCACAACAACCAGGACUCCAUCACCUGAAGCCACCACCACGAGAGUGACACUCCCUGAAGUGGAAGAGACACAUGUGGACGUGGAGGACACCACAGCACCCUUCAGGUCAAAGACUUUAAUAGAGAAGUGUUAGUUUCAGUAGUCUCAUGGUACUAUGUUAAAAUGAAGAUGUAAUGUCAACUUUCAUCCUUUUUACAUGUACUGUACAUUUCCUAUACUAACAUUUCUGAAUGUAGUGUGAAAUGUUUACGAAGUAAAAGCCUUUUGCUAUAGGUUGAUGUUUACAUUAUUCUUUUUGUAAAAGGCAAUGUGCUCUUGAUUAACCUAGCUGAUAAAAUACAGAUAUUAAUCAUAUUAUGUUAUAUUUUACAGUUGUGAAACAGGUUUGGGCAGGGAAAACGGUGUAUGUGCUCCAGUCUAAAAUUGGGCUAUACAAGAUUUUUUUCCAGGACAUAAUGCGAACCCGCCAAAUGGAGAGCUUGAGAGUGAGGUAACUCAGUAGUUGUCAUUACUUGACAACAUUGUCUAAUGUGUAUCCAUUGUUAUGAAUCAGAACACAAAUAUGUAUUUAUAUGAUGUGUCAAUUCUAGAAGGAUCCUAUGUAUUUGUUCAUAUACUUUUCAAAAUGUCUUUUUUUGUCAACUUAUUUCUUCAGGUCAUCAAUGCCUACCUAAACUUAAUUGUAAAGAAGUACAACACAGAGGAAAAAGAAGCAAAAGCACAGUACAUUGACACUUAUGCAAUGACAAAUACAUGGAACCGGAAGGCAUCUAAGCUUCGGGCUGGUAAUACAUUUUCUUUUAUGUAAUACUUAGUGCGUAGAUUUUUGACACAAUGUACAUACAUUUUAAAGUAUAGUUACAUUUUAUUUCUGUUAUUUUUGAAAUCCAGAUUGACCCACAACAGUUCCAAAUUAUCUUGAGCAUUAUCAAUGACAAGGGGCACUGGAUACUGACACACCACUGACCACCCAACCAGGCUUGAUAAUAUUAUGCACUUUAUGUUUUUACAAAAAUGUAUUUUAUGUUUUUACUGUAUUCUAUGUUUUUACUUGUAUUCUAUGUUUUUUACUG